CCUACGGGUGGCAGCAGUGAGGAAUAUUGGUCAAUGGGCGCGAGCCUGAACCAGCCAAGUAGCGUGAAGGAUGACUGCCCUACGGGUUGUAAACUUCUUUUAUAAAGGAAUAAAGUGAGGCACGUGUGCCUUUUUGUAUGUACUUUAUGAAUAAGGAUCGGCUACCUCGGUCCCGCAGCCCAGGUAAUACGGAGGAAUCGAGCGUUAUCCGGGGUUAUUGGGUUUAAAGGGAGCGUAGAUGGGUUGUUAAGUCAGUUGUGAAAGUUUUCGGCUCAACCGUAAAAUUGCAAUUGAUACUGGCAGUCUUGAGUACAGUUGAGGUAGGCGGAAUUCGUGGUGUAGCGGUGAAAUGCUUAGAUAUCACGAAGAACUCCGAUUGCGAAGGCAGCUUACUAAACUGCCACUGACAUUGAUGCUCGAAAGUGUGGGUAUCAAACAGGAUUAGAUACCCUUGUAGUC
rnacentral:rRNA from 1 species